AGAGAAGCUCUUGAUCUCCGAGGGCACUCAAGGUCAUAUUUAGUGCCAUGUUUCAAAUGCACUGAGAAAUGAAAGCAGGAACUCUUUCAUUUCUAUCUCAAGCUGAGGUAGUGGUGUCCAUACUGGUGAGGACACCUGCUGCAGACAGCCCCACAGGAGGAUCUGAAUUAGGUUAAGGUAGCUGUCCACUACAGCCUCCCUUGAAGCUCUGUCAUUUAUCAUGUUUUCUGUGUGGAAAACCACAUAGUUCACAUUUCCUUCUUCUUCCAGCUUUUUCCUGGAGAGUGAACCUCAGUUGGUCCCUAAGGCUUGCUGCCCAAACCUUGACACCCUUUCCCACAUCUUUCACAGAUGCUAAUGGAUGGAGGUGAGAAAGCCAAUGUUGAAGAAUGGGAGGUAGCUUCCUGGAGUCUGACAUGUCCUGGAGUUUGACAUGUCUACACCUCACAAGCACUGAGCAAGAGAAUCCUCUCAUAUUCCCAGGCAGGGUGGAGCUGGUUGAUUAGAAAACCCCCUUUGAGAGCCAUCUGGCUGCCAUAUAAAAUUACUGCCAAUGAAGUGACACAGUCAUCUGGUCACAAACACCAGGAGGCCGGAGACUUGGAGUCCAGCACUUGGCCUAUCCAACCUGAGAAGGCAAGAUGGGCUGGAUGUUUUAGAAUCACAAAUGUACAGAACUGGAAGGGACCUUAGACAGGGAAAAAUGAACAGAUUUUAACAUAUAGAAUCAUUUGUUAAAAUGAUGCAUGGAAAACACUAAAUUUGGCAGAGAAAAAUCUGUUACCCCAAAGUUAGGCUUUUUAAAAGUCCAUUUGGGGGUGGAUCAGGAGUAGAAUGCUUGUCUUACAUGUGCAAGGACCUGAGUUUGAUCCCCAGCACAG
rnacentral:lncRNA from 1 species